GGAUGUGUGGGCGAUCUGGCUGUGACAUCUGUCACCCCAUUGAUCUGCAGGGUUGAUUCAGCUGAUCUGGCUGGCUAGGUGGGUGUCCCCUUCCUCCCCCACUGCUCCAUGUGCGUGUGUCCCUCCCAAAGCUGCAUGCUCGGUCAAAGAGGAUGACCUUCCCCGAAUAGAUGACGGACAGGUCUUUGGUUAAGAGUAUACAAGUAGCUGUGCUCCCCUGCUAUAACCCCACUAGGGCUCCACACCCCAGAAACAGGCUGGGGGUAUGAAUCAACCUCCCAACAUCCAUGUCCAGCCGAGAAGCAACUAUAGAAGCCAGACUUCCCACCUUC
rnacentral:snRNA from 1 species